rnacentral:lncRNA from 1 species
GGACAGGGACAGGGGCUGGCACGGCACGGGGGCAGCACGGGGACAGGGGCACUGCUGAGGGUGGGGUCCCGGGCGGGGGGACAGGGGACAUGGCACAGGAAAGGAAUGGGGACAGGGGACAUGGCACGGGGACAGUGGCACAGUAAGGGUGUGGGGACAGGGGACACGGCACAGGAAAGGAAUAGGGACAGGGGACAGUGGCACAGUAAAGGUGUGGGGACAGGGGACAGUGGCACAGGGACAGUGGCACCGGAAAGAUGUGGGGACAUGGGGACAUGGCACAGGGACAGUGGCACAGUAAGGGUGUGGGGACAGGGGACAUGGCACAGGAAAGGUUGGGGACAGGGGACAUGGCACGGGGACAGUGGCACAGUAAGGGUGCGGGGACAGGGGACAGUGGCACAGGAAAGGAAUGGGGACAGGGGACAUGGCACGGGGACAGUGGCACAGUAAGGGUGUGGGGACAGGGGACAUGGCACGGGGACAGUGGCACAGGAAAGGUUGGGGACAGGGGACAUGGCACAGGAAAGGUUGGGGACAGGGGACAUGGCACGGGGACAGUGGCAUGGAACAAGGCGAGGACAGGGGACACUGCCACCACCACAUGGGGACAGGGGAAUGGGGACACAGGGCAUGGCAGGGGGACAGGGACACUGGAGCUGGCACGGCAUGGGGACACAGGGUGACAGCACAGGGCAGGGACACCGGCUGCUGGCACGGGACAGAACCUCGGGGCGCUGGCAGGGCAGGGGCACGUGGCAGAGGGACGGGGACAGGGGACACGGGACAUGGCAGAGGGACAGGACAGGAUGAUGGCAGGGCGUGGGGACAGGAAACGGCAGAGGGAUGGGACAAGGGACACGGCAGGCGGAUGGGACAGGGUGGUGGCAGGGCGGGGACACAGGGGACACGGAGGAGGGACAGGACAAAGGAGCUGGCACUGGGAUGGGGACAGGGAUGGGACAGGGGACACGAUACAGGGAUGGGGACAGAGGACAGGGCACUGGGAUGGGGACAGGGGACAGGGAUGGGACAGGGGACACGAUACAGGGAUGGGGACAAGGGACAGGGAUGGGACAGGGGACACGAUACAGGGAUGGGGACAAGGGACAGGGCACUGGGAUGGGGCAGGGGACACAGCACAGGGAUGGGGACAGGGGACAGGGCACUGGGAUGGGGACAAGGGACAGGGAUGGGACAGGGGACACGAUACAGGGAUGGGGACAAGGGACAGGGCACUGGGAUAGGGACAGAGCAGGGACAUGAGCAGAGGACGUGGCAGAGAGGUUGGGGACAGGAACACAGCAUGGGGCAGUGGCACAGGACUGGGGAUGUCACACCUGGCACAUGUCCCCCCACAGCCCAAUUUUGGGGACACUGUCCCCCCACAGCCCAAUUUUGGGGACACUGUGCCCUCACAGCCCAAUUUUGGGGACACUGUCCCCUCUCAGCCCAAUUUUGGGGACACUGUCCCCCCACAGCCCAAUUUUGGGGACACUGUCCCCCCACAACCCAAUUUUGG